rnacentral:rRNA from 1 species
UACGAAGGGUGCUAGCGUUGUUCGGAAUUACUGGGCGUAAAGCGCGCGUAGGCGGCUUUGCAAGUCAGGGGUGAAAUCCCACGGCUCAACCGUGGAAUUGCCUUUGAAACUGCAAAGCUGGAGUGUCGGAGGGGAUGAGCGGAAUUGCUAAUGUAGCGGUGAAAUGACGGUAGAUAUUAGCAGGAACACCGGUGGCGAAGGCGGCUAUCUGGACGACAACUGACGCGUGACUGCGCGAAACGCGGGG